AGAAACCCCCACCCCCUAAAAUCUCUCCAACCACCAAAUCCAUGAAUAUCUCUAUCAGUUUUGCUUAUAAAAUACACAUUCACGAUCCUUUUCAAAAACGUGCUGCAGUUCUUUCUUCUCUUCCACGCGGAGUUCUGAAUCUAUUGCAGUUCUGAAUCGAGAGAGCUGUGAUCUCAAAUCCCCCAGUUUUCUAACAAGUUUGAUUCUUCCUAAAGGGUGAGCUUGUGCACGUUGUUGGCAGUUGGAAUAAGAAGUGAUUGAGGAGUAAGCGUGUGAGAUUGAGCGGCGACGGACGGGGAGGAUGUUGAGCAGAAUUCAUGGAUUAUUUAUGGCUUGCUUAGUAUCGUUGGAUAUGUCGUGUCUUCAUACUCGGCAUUUUUCGUGUCUUGAACGCUUCCGUGGUGUGUCUUUUCCUUAAAAUUCUUUUAGCAUUGAGAGUCGAACUCUUUUCAAAAUUUUUACUUUCUAGUCUUUAUUUCUUUAGAGUUGGUACUUUGUUGAAAUGAUACUACGUUGAUUUCUAAGUUAUUUCACUUAUUAAAAUAUUUUGGUCGAAAGUGUGUGUUUCUCCCUUUCUUCCCCACUUCUUUAAUCCUCCCAUAGUCGCGAUCAACCGUGUUUUCUAUCCUUAGAAAAUACGGGCGUGACAUAAAGUAUCAUCAAUAUAUUCACAUUUUUUCUCUA